rnacentral:rRNA from 1 species
CAGCAGCCACGGUAAUACGGAGGGUGCAAGCGUUAAUCGGAAUUACUGGGCGUAAAGCGCACGCAGGCGGUCUGACAAGUCAGAUGUGAAAUCCCCGGGCUUAACCUGGGAACUGCAUUUGAAACUGUCAGGCUGGAGUCUUGUAGAGGGGGGUAGAAUUCCAGGUGUAGCGGUGAAAUGCGUAGAGAUCUGGAGGAAUACCGGUGGCGAAGGCGGCCCCCUGGACAAAGACUGACGCUCAGGUGCGAAAGCGUGGGGAGCAAACAGGAUUAGAUACCCGAGUAGUCCCUGUCUCUUAUAA